GACGAACGCUGGCGGCGUGCUUAACACAUGCAAGUCGAACGGUGAACUCCGCUAGCGGGGGUCUCAGUUGCCAACGGGCGGGUAACACGGUGGCAACCUGCCCACAGCCUUGGGAUAACUCCAAGAAAUUGGGGCCAAUACCUGAUAUGACCGCUCGUCGCAUGACCAGGGGGUGGGACGAUUUAUCGGCUGGGGAUGGGCCCGCGGCCGAUCAGCUUGUUGGUUGGGUAGUGGCAUACCAAGGCGACGCCGGGUACCCGACCUGAGAGGGUGGCCGGCCACAAUGGGACUGCGGCACGGCCCAGACUCCUACGGGAGGCAGCAGUGGGAAAUAUUGCGCAAUGGGCCAACGCCUGACGCAGCGACGCCGCGUGGGGGAUGACGGCCUUCGGGUUGUAAACCUCUUACAGCAGGGACGAAGCGAAAGUGACGGUACCUGCAGAAGAAGCACCGGCCAACUACGUG
rnacentral:rRNA from 1 species